GAUGAACGCUGGCGGCGUGCCUAAUACAUGCAAGUCGAGCGAACAGACGAGGAGCUUGCUCCUCUGACGUUAGCGGCGGACGGGUGAGUAACACGUGGAUAACCUACCUAUAAGACUGGGAUAACUUCGGGAAACCGGAGCUAAUAACGGAUAAUAUAUUGAACCGCAUGGUUCAAUAGUGAAAGACGGUUUUGCUGUCACUUAUAGAUGGAUCCGCGCCGCAUUAGCUAGUUGGUAAGGUAACGGCUUACCAAGGCAACGAUGCGUAGCCGACCUGAGAGGGUGAUCGGCCACACUGGAACUGAGACACGGUCCAGACUCCUACGGGAGGCAGCAGUAGGGAAUCUUGCGCAAUGGGCGAAAGCUUGACGGAGCAACGCCGCGUGAGUGAUGAAGGUCUUCGGAUCGUAAAACUCUGUUAUUAGGGAAGAACAAAUGUGUAAGUAACUAUGCACGUCUUGACGGUACCUAAUCAGAAAGCCACGGCUAACUACGUG
rnacentral:rRNA from 1 species